rnacentral:rRNA from 1 species
UACAGAGGGGGCAAGCGUUAUUCGGAAUCACUGGGCUUAAAGGGCGCGUAGGCGGGUGCUCAAGUCCGUGGUGAAAUCCUCCGGCUCAACCGGAGAACUGCCUCGGAUACUGGGUGCCUCGAGGGUGGUAGGGGUAUGCGGAACUAUCGGUGGAGCGGUGAAAUGCGUUGAUAUCGAUAGGAACUCCGGUGGCGAAGGCGGCAUACUGGACCACCUCUGACGCUGAGGCGCGAAAGCCAGGGGAGCAAACGGG